rnacentral:lncRNA from 1 species
AUUUUCUAGUUCCUUUCUAAAGGAAUUACUGUUCAUAUUUUUAAUUCCUUCAGCAUUUUCUCUAUUUCCCUUUUAAACUCAAUGUCUGUCAGACUGCAGAGGUCUGUUCCAUUGUUGACUGCUUUAGGUGAAUUCUCCUGUUCCUUUAACUGGGAAUGUUUUCUGAGCUUCUUCAUCUUGAUUGUGUUUUUCUUUUUCUGUGAGUUUGGGGAAGCCAAACUGUAGUCUUGUAAGGCUACUUCUAUGCAAGAAUUCCCUUUUGUAUUUUUUUGGGGGGGGGGUUACUAUUUAUUUUUGGUGUGGGAGUUUGAAUAUUUGCUGUCUCUUUGUUUGGUGUAAGCAGGCUGUUAUUCCCAGGAUGCUCAGUGUGUUUUCAGGGAGAGGGAGGCAAUGGGUAGGUCCAGCAGUCAGUGCCUGGUCAUUGGGCUCUCAACAGCAGCAAGGAUUUCCAGGAAGGUGGCACAGGUUACUCCUAGUUGCUGAGGCCUCCGGAGCCUGAGUCUCAGCACCCAGCCCCCACCAAACAUCUCAGGCUGUGGUGUCCGGGCCGAUGGUUCAGAUGAUCUGUGCAGCUCCCACUCUGCUUUGCUGUUCUCAGUCCAGCUGCUGUGCUUUUCUCGGCAACUUUGAGGUCCUGCCGACUCGGCUGAUCUUUCUGUCAAUUAGGGGGCUUCCCAGGAUGUGGGUUCCUUUUCCUUCAUAGCUCCCUCUCGAGAAUGCUAGUCCCGUCCUGAUUCCUUUUCUCUUUUUUUCUUUUGUUCUACCCAGUUAUGUCGAGAGUUUCUUGCCCUUUUUGAAGGUUUAAGUUCUUCUGCCAGCAUUCAGUGGAUGUUCUGUGCGAGUCGUUUUGCAUGUAGAUGUAUUUUUUUGAUGUGCUUGUAGGAGAAGGUGAGUGCAACCUCUUAUUCCUCUACCAUCGUGCUCUGCCUCCCGUUCUGGUCAGCCCAGACUUUUAAUACUGAACCCACAAGGGUCAACCUGGGUGUCUUCACUUCCCAAUCUCAACCCUGUCUGGGAACUUCAGUAUAGAAAAAUCCAGACACAUUCUGCCCAAAGUGCCCUUUGAGUGGGUGGCACAUUGUUCUGCCCUGGUGUGAGACACCAUGGACCUAUCAGACAGCCAGCAAGAGGGGGAUUUGCCCAAGACCCACAGGCCUCUGAGGCCAGAGACACCCCAGUGCUCAGUUUACAGGUGGCCUCUCAAAUGCUGGGGGACAUGCAGCCAAGGCCUUCAGUGAUGCCCCCUGGCCUCACUGAGACUUCUUAACCCUUGAAAAUAACUUUCAUAAAAUCACCAUUUUUUUUAAAGUCUGUAUUUAAAAAAUAAAACAACUUGCCCUGCCUGUAUUUGGCAGUGCCAACUUUCCUGGACUGUGUGUGUGUGUGUGUGUUGCCUAUUUCUUUCCCUUUCAUAUCGCUAAUACAAGAGAACAUAAAUAAAUGAGCCUAUAGGAAGCAAAUUCACUCUAUGGAGCCAUUAACAGGUGAUUUUCUUGGGUUAUGUUGACUCAUUUUUAUUAUUAUUUUUUUAAUUUUAUUUUAUUUUGCUUUUUAGGGCCAUACCCGUGGCAUAUGGAGGUUCCCAGGCUAGGGGUAGAAUCAGAGCUACAGCUGUCGGCCUACACCACAGCCGCAGCAACUGGGAAUCCGAGCCAUGUCUGUGGCCUACACCACAGCUCACAGCAACGCCAGAUCCUUAACCAACUGAACAAGGCCUGGGGUCGAACCCACAACCUCAUGGUUCCUGGUCAGAAUCGUUUCUGCUAUGCCAUGAUGGGAACCCCUGCCAUCCCCUGAAUUUAGGGAGAACUGUAUUCCCCAAAGGGCAAAACUGCCCCAGGAGCUGAUGGCCCCAGUGAGGAUGCACAGUACCCAUGACAGGAAGCAAGAGCUGGAGGCCAGUGGGUAGGGCACCUGAAUGAGUGUCGGGUAUGGGUGGAUGGCCACAUGGGUGAUCAGGAGAGUGGAGAGGAAGUCCCAAGGGAGCCUAACAUGGGGUGAGGGAGGGCCCACCUUGGGGUUCAGAUCAGCCUGCAAAGGAAUGUGCCUCUGGGGUGGAGGAGAGGCAGGCUGGGGUGCAGAAAGAGCUGGAGGCUGGGGGAGAGGGGAUACAAAUUAGCUUGUGUGUUCUUUGGCUCCGUGGUAUGUAUUUAGUAGGUGCAAAGAUGAGGGAAAGGAGGGAUGCAGGGAAGACAAGAGAAGGAAAGGACGAGGUUAAGACAAAGGCCAUUUGAAGGGAUGAGAAAAACGUUUAUUGUAAACUGCCUAAGAGCCCCUCGGGGAUGGCCUGGGACCCUCCAGGGAGAGGUGGCCUCGCCAUCUUCAGCUGCUGGUCGCUAACUGGUAGGGUCCGGAAUCACUUCUCAUGACAUGUCUCUCUGACAACCUCAGGACCUCGCAGAUGUGAGAGCCUAUUUCUGAACAAGGCUCUGUCUGAGCACUGGGAUGUGUCAAUUAGUCAAUCUUGAGGGUUUCAUAAAACCACAGAGUUCCUUCCUGUCGUGGCUCAGCGGAAACGAGUCUGAGUAGCAUCCAUGAGGAUGCAGGUUCUAUCCCUGGCCUCACUCAGUGGGUUAAGGAUCCGGUGUUGCCAUGAGCUGUUGUGUAGGUCACAGAUCAAUGCUGGAUCCUCAACCCUCUGAGCAAGGCCUAGGAUCGAACGCACAUCCUCAUGGAUACUAGUCGGAUUUACUUUUGUUGUGCCACAACGGGAGCUCCCCAUUUUGUGGAAGUUCUUGAAGGCUCAACUUUCCUCCCCUAGAACUAGGGCAAGUUGAGAGUUUUAAAGAGGCUUAAAGUUGGGAGGCUUAAAUCAUUAUUCCCAUUUUGCCCAGGUGACCAUCAUUCCAAGUUUUAUAAGUGGCUGGAGUCUGAGGGUGGAAGUACUGAGAAAACCUAUGGGGCAGGUGGACCAGCCUGGCUGCCCAGAAGCCCUGCCUGAGCCCCACUGCGGACUUCAUCCCCAGUCCCAGCAAGCAGUGACCCAGUCCCUGGCCAGGCCCAGGCUUAGAAGGUCCUCCCCAAGGUCAGAAGGACAAGCCCAGAAGAUGGGAAAGAAAAGGCAACCAUUCCUCACACACUAAGAUUCUCUGACUGCAGCCAGGCUACCAAGUUGUAGACGCACUUAGAGUGUGUGCACUGGGAGUUGCUGAGACCACGAUGGCAGUUUUGGAGUGUUUGGCUCCUGGACACCUCUGGGCGCAGGAGCCCCAGGUGCACAGACACUUUGCUGGCGUGUCUCACUUUCCCCUGGAUGGAAAUCCAGACCACAAUAUUGCUCUGAAACCCAGGGAGCCUUUUGAAGUCAUUGUGUUCCGACUUCAGACCACGUACACACAAAACCGCUGGCCUUCAUUAGGGGGAGAAAAAGCUGUUGGAUGGUUUGGCUACUAACUGCUUUUUGGCAUUUUCGCAAUGGCUUUCAAUAACGAGGCACCCAUGGAAAGGCAGGGGUGGUGGAGGGGCGAUACAGCAGCAACAAAAGGGAGGGAUCUGGAAAAAUGGGAAACUUCCAUCUGCGAUAAGAAACCCUUAUGGCUCUUAUUAGGCUUUCUGCUCAGGCAGGGAGGUCCCCUGGCUUUAAUAAAAUCUCAUUUUCCCCUUAAACUCUCCCAUGUGGUAGGCGCCCAGAGUUUAAUGGGGACAGAAGAGAUGAUUCCAACCUGCGGCUCAGGUGGCCGGGGGGCCCCCCCACCUCCAGGCCCGCAGCCGGGAUUGAUUGCAGAGCGGCGGGGCCAGCGACACGCAAGCUGCAGCGCAUCAGAGAAUAAUCACCCGCCGUUUGAUGCUGACCCGGGCCAAACGAAGAUGGCAGCCUGGCUCCCGCGCGUCCCCGCUCCGAGGAGGGAGCAGCUCAUCCCCGUCUCUAUUAAGAGUGGACCCAAGGAGUAGGUCGACCAGCUCCAACAUGUGAUUUAUUAGGGGGCAUCUGCAUUUGAAAGGCUCUGUGGCUUUCAUCUCUG